rnacentral:sRNA from 1 species
AAAAAAACAACAAAAAUCU